UACGAAGGGGGCUAGCGUUGUUCGGAUUUACUGGGCGUAAAGCGCACGUAGGCGGAUCGUUAAGUCAGGGGUGAAAUCCCAGAGCUCAACUCCGGAACUGCCUUUGAUACUGGCGAUCUUGAGGCUGGAAGAGGUUAGUGGAAUUCCCAGUGUAGAGGUGAAAUUCGUAGAUAUUGGGAAGAACACCAGUGGCGAAGGCGGCUAACUGGUCCAGAUCUGACGCUGAGGUGGCGAAAGCGUGGGGAGCAAACAGGG
rnacentral:rRNA from 1 species